rnacentral:rRNA from 1 species
GACGAACGCUGGCGGCGUGCUUAACACAUGCAAGUCGAACGGAAAGGCCCUGCUUUUGUGGGGUGCUCGAGUGGCGAACGGGUGAGUAACACGUGAGUAACCUGCCCUUGACUUUGGGAUAACUUCAGGAAACUGGGGCUAAUACCGGAUAGGAGCUCCUGCUGCAUGGUGGGGGUUGGAAAGUUUCGGCGGUUGGGGAUGGACUCGCGGCUUAUCAGCUUGUUGGUGGGGUAGUGGCUUACCAAGGCUUUGACGGGUAGCCGGCCUGAGAGGGUGACCGGCCACAUUGGGCCUCGGCUGCGGGCCGGAGUCCUACGGGUGGCAGCAGGGGCGAAUGUUGCACGAUGGGACGACGCCUGAUGGAGGAACGCCGCCGGCGGGAAGACGGCCUUCGGGUUGUAAACCGCUUUGGCCUGUGACGAAGCGUGGGUGACGGUGAUGGUUAACAGAGCGCCGGCUAACUACGUG